UUGGUGCUUCAUGUUCCCCAGGUUGC
rnacentral:piRNA from 1 species